UGGGGAAUCUUGGACAAUGGGUGCAAGCCUGAUCCAGCCAUGCCGCGUGAGGGAGGAAGGCUUUUGGGUUGUAAACCUCUUUUCUCAAGGAAGAUUUCAGACGGUACUUGAGGAAUCAGCAUCGGCUAACUCCGUGCCAGCAGCCGCGGUAAUACGGAGGAUGCAAGCGUUAUCCGGAAUAAUUGGGCGUAAAGCGUUCGUAGGUGGUUUUGUAAGUCUGCUGUUAAAGCGUGUAGCUUAACUACAUAUAGGCGGUGGAAACUACAAAACUAGAGUGUGUUCGGGGCAGAGGGAAUUCCUAGUGUAGCGGUGAAAUGCGUAGAGAUUAGGAAGAACACCGGUGGCGAAAGCGCUCUGCUAGGCCGCAACUGACACUGAGGGACGAAAGCUAGGGGAGCGAAUGGGAUUAGAUACCCCCGUAGUCC
rnacentral:rRNA from 1 species